CAAUGGUAAUCAUUUAUAGGACUACAGUAGUAUAAUUGUCAUUCAUAAAUAAAUUUACCAUAUUAACACUUUUUCAAUUUUUUUUUCCAAAUAUAAGAUGUAUCUAGAUUUCACUCCAUACCCAUUCCAUCCCACCUCACAUAUUGAAAAAAUCCUUGACAAGAGAUUCCAUUGAAACUCGUUGUCGGUUGCAUGCCCCAGAUCGUUACGCCUUUCGUGCGGGUCGAAACUUACCCGACAAGGAAUUUCGCUUUAACUUAGUUGGCCUCCAGAGACUCCACCCUUGGUGCAACUGAAGGCGGAGAGGCGAUGGUAACAAACGAAAAUCGACCUUCAUUAGUAGUGACGGUAUCAAUAAAGUGCUUGGUGGUAGAGAAGAACCACCAUAAAUAGGAGGCGAAUAAAGGGGACCCGUUACUGAAAGGACAGCAAGAGAAUUUCAGAGCAUGCGCCCUUGCUUUCAGAUUUGAGAUGGUUAGAAUCUGUGUUUUUUUAGUUGGUUUAUGAAAUUUUAUGGUUUUUGAGAUGUGUAAUCGGUGGUGAUUUAUCAACGUUUAGGGGUGAUCGAUGGUAGUUUUAAGGCUGCAUCAUCAGUUUUCGAUGAUGGUAUUGUAAGAUGCAGAUACGACAAUGAAAUAUGGAAUAUUUGUGCAGCUGGUGGGUAAGAUGGUGGUGGCGCUGCAACUAUAAGUUGGGUGUUGUAAGGUUGUUGUAGAUCUAUCUUUCUAUGUUAUUUAGUGGUGGUUGUAUAUCUGUCUUUCUAUGGUUGCCAACAAUAGGGAUGGAAUGGUUGGGUGGGGUGAAAGUGAUUGUCAACGAAAAUACUGAGGAUAAAACAUGUGAAGAAUGAGAGAUAAGUGGUAGUUGGGUGAAUAGCAUUUGUGAGCAAUUACUUAGGUAAUUUGUAAUCAAUUGAUUGGGUAACGUAUGAUCAAUAAAUAAUUUGUGACCUACUAAACGUGUGAACUGCGACUAAAUAUAUGAAUGUGACCCAUAAAUUGUCUUAUGUUACUGUGAUCUUGUGUGAUUUUUGACUAAUAAAUGAUUUUAAGACCUCUUAAUUGUAUGAUUUGCAAUUAAAAAUAUGAUUGUAAUCCAUAAAUUAUGCCUUAUAUGAUUAUUGAUUUGUGUGAUUUGUAGAUAUGAUCAUAAAUUGUAUGUUAUUGUAAUCGUAGCCUGUUUAAUUAACUUAGAGGGAAUUGCAUCCCAUGGUAUUUUUUGAAAUGACAUUUUAAAAAUGUCACCUAUUAAAAAUCUUUGCAAAAUGUAACUUCCGAUCUUUUUUGUUCUUGAAAAAAUUUAAAUACCUUGCAUGUCCUUAAAUAAAUAUGGUAAAUGUGAUUUGACAAGAUGAAAAUGUUGUACCAAAAAGUGGACAAAUAUCACAACCAAUUAAAAACAAAACAUGUGAAAAGAGCCCAGAUACCAUCUCUCUCUCAUUUAAUACGAACCUAACCCUAAGCUCCUGCUUGGCCCCCGUUGCUUGGAUUUAUAGUGGGGAAAUAAUUUUUUUUGAAAAAUUGAUAGUUGUAAAAGAAUGAAAAAAUUUCAAUUUGCGUGAAAUAUUAUUUUAUUGAAUAUUGUGUGAUUGAAAAUAGAAAAGAGAGAUAUUUAAAUUAAAUUGAUGAGUUCUAAUGGAAGCCAAAUGGGAGCUAAAUGCACUCCCCUCUUUCUUACUCGAACUUUGCGCCGUCCGCCAAUUGACGACAAAACAAUUUUCGAUGAAGCCCUUCAGUCAUCAUUGAAACUCGUCGUUCCAUUUUUCACUCCAUUAAUGAAAUUUUCUUUUGUUUGUUUUUCGAUUUCGUGAGUGUGAAGUGGAUUUAUUUUGUCAAACUUGCGGUCAUCGCCGGAGCCCGUCUUUCCAUUUUCACUCCAUUAAUGAAAUUUUCUAUUGUUUACUUUUCAAUUUCGUGAGUGUGAAAUGUAAAAUACUUGGAUUUUGUUGUAGGUUUGUGUUGGGUUCCUAUUAGUUUUGAUGAAUUCUUCCGAAGAUCCGUGUGUAAGUUUCGUAAUAAGCUUUUAUUAUUCUUGUAUUUAUAUUAGUUUGCCUGCCAAUGUUUGUACUCAAAUAUUCAAAAGUUUAGGUUGAAUAUGCAAAUGGAAUAUUGCUGGAAUUCAUACAUUUAGGCUAUUAAUUUGUUUUAUGGAACUUCAAAUGUUGAUUAAACUUUAAUGUCAUGUACUUAUUACACUAUUUUACUCUCUUUCUUUACUUAUACUUAUGAAUUUGAUAAGGGUGUUCUAUUCUUUCUGUAUACUAAUGUUUUUUAUUUUGAAAAUAAUGAAUACAUUGGAGGCUUUCAUACUACAUUUCUUCAAGUGGGUUUGCUUCCUCGUAUGUUUUUGAAAAUUCAGUUGAUUUUGUUCCAUUCACGUUUGUGUCAUUCGAAUGGAGGGGUAUGUCUCCUAUGGAUUGUAAUGAAUGAAGCUUGUCAUUUCUCUUUGCAUUUCAAAUGUUGGAACUUGAGUUUAUCAUAUUAUCUGAGUACUUAUACAUACAUGAACAUUAUACACCCUCUCCUCAAUUUCAUUGAGCACUUGUUUAAAGUUAUUUCAUCGCGUAUAAUUUGACACCACCAUUUAUAAGCGAAUACAUAUUAUAUGCAUGGGUGAUGUCCCUCAUUUUGCUAGAGCAUGUUCUUUAUUAAUAUAUUUGCUUGAUCAUGCAUUACACUUUUCACUACCUACAAAUAAUCGAAAUAUUACACUCUUUGUAAGUAUACUCGUUGAAAUGUAAUUGCCACUCUAUAUAGUUAUGGAACCAUCUGUCGAAAAGAAUUGUCACUAGAAUUCUCGACAAUUGAGUAACUUCUAUCUACAUUUGAAGUCAUAUGCCGAAUUUGUUAAGCUAAUCUUAAAGGUUUGUUUUGAAUUAACAUGUAUGAAUGUUACUGAUUUUUGUAGAUGAACUUUGCUUCGUCCAUAGGAAGGGCUGACCUGGAUAUGCCAUUGGUGACUGCCGUACCAAAUGUGGUUGAUGAUGCCGUUGCAACGAAGAAGCUCUCGACACGCGUUUGAGUGCCUACAGCUUUGACGAAGACUCCUUUCUCUAGAGGGUGUAGGGAAAGAGUCAAGGAAUAGUGAAGUUCUUGUAUUACAUACUUUCAAAUACAAUGACUUUUAUUUAUGUAUGAUGUGCUAGUGGGCAAAAUAAUUUUACAGGUUCUCUAAGUUAUGGUCUUUGGAGAUUUGAAUGGUUGAUGUGUAUGACCCGUAAAGAUUUUGGAUGUGAAUGGGCAUGGAGGCCAUUUUUGAAUGCUGAAAUGUUGUAAAUGGGUCAGAAUUUGGAGCUUAUAUGUUCAAUUUUUGUAGUUUGUUAACGGUGUAUCUAUGCUAAUAUUGGUACAUUGCUAGAGAAUGUUAUUGAUGUAUGAACCACAUACAUUAAUUAUUGUAAUUUGUUCGAUUCUUAUGGUGCUAAUGUUCUGUAUGUUAAUAGAUUGGAUGAUUUGGCA
rnacentral:lncRNA from 1 species